UACGUAGGGUGCGAGCGUUGUCCGGAAUUAUUGGGCGUAAAGAGCUCGUAGGCGGUGUGUCACGUCGGCCGUGAAAACCUGCAGCUUAACUGUGGGCGUGCGGUCGAUACGGGCAGGCUAGAGUUCGGUAGGGGAGACUGGAAUUCCUGGUGUAGCGGUGAAAUGCGUAGAUAUCUGGAGGAACACCGGUGGCGAAGGCGGGAUCCUGGGCCAGUACUGACGCUGAGGAGCGAAAGCGUGGGGAGCAAACAGG
rnacentral:rRNA from 1 species